AACGAACGCUGGCGGCGUGCCUAACACAUGCAAGUCGUGCGAGAAAGUUCCUUCGGGAGCGAGUAAAGCGGCGCACGGGUGAGUAACACGUAGGUAACCUGCCCCCCAGUCUGGAACAACUAGAGGAAACUCUAGCUAAUGCCAGAUGAGACCACGAUCCCUUCGGGGGUUGCGGCCAAAGAUGGCCUCUACUUGUAAGCUAUCGCUGAGGGAUGGGCCUGCGGGCCAUUAGCUUGUUGGUGAGGUAACGGCUCACCAAGGCUGUGAUGGCUAGCUGGUCUGAGAGGAUGACCAGCCACACUGGGACUGAGACACGGCCCAGACUCCUACGGGAGGCAGCAGUGGGGAAUAUUGCGCAAUGGGCGAAAGCCUGACGCAGCGACGCCGCGUGGGUGAUGAAGGCCU
rnacentral:rRNA from 1 species